rnacentral:rRNA from 1 species
CCUACGGGGGGCAGCAGUGGGGAAUAUUGGGCAAUGGAGGCAACUCUUACCCAGCAAUGCCGCGUGAAUGAAGAAGGUCUUCGGAUUGUAAAGUUCUUUAAUUGGGGACGAAAAAAAUGACGGUACCCAAGGAAUAAGCCCCGGCUAACUACGUGCCAGCAGCCGCAGUAAUCAGUAGGGGGCAAGCGUUGUUCGGAAUGACUGGGCGUAAAGGGUGAGUAGGCGGUGUAGCAAGUUAGAAGUGAAAUACCUAGGGCUUAACUCAGGUGCUGCUUCUAAAACUGCUAUACUUGAGUGCAGUAGAGGAAAGGGGAAUUCCUAGUGUAGCGGUGGAAUGCGUAGAUAUUAGGAGGAACAUCAGUGGCGAAGGCGACUUUCUGGACUGUAACUGACGCUGAGGCACGAAAGUGUGGGGAGCAAACAGGAUUAGAUACCCGAGUAGUC